CUUCACCGAGCCGAGCAGCAGCGGCUCCGGGCGGUCCUGUCCGUAGGUGGCGAGCAGCGCCUGCGCUUC
rnacentral:antisense_RNA from 1 species